UACGUAGGGUGCGAGCGUUGUCCGGAAUUAUUGGGCGUAAAGAGCUCGUAGGCGGUUUGUCGCGUCUGCUGUGAAAACGCGAGGCUCAACCUCCAGCCUGCAGUGGGUACGGGCAGACUAGAGUGCGGUAGGGGAGAUUGGAAUUCCUGGUGUAGCGGUGGAAUGCGCAGAUAUCAGGAGGAACACCGGUGGCGAAGGCGGUUCUCUGGGCAUUACCUGACGCUGAGGAGCGAAAGUGUGGGGAGCGAACAGG
rnacentral:rRNA from 1 species